UACAGAGGUCUCAAGCGUUGUUCGGAUUCAUUGGGCGUAAAGGGUGCGUAGGUGGCGGGGUAAGUCAGGUGUGAAAUCGUCGAGGCUCAACCUCGAAACUGCACUUGAUACUGCCUUGCUCGAGUACUGGAGAGGAGAUUGGAAUUUACGGUGUAGCAGUGAAAUGCGUAGAUAAUCGUAAGGAAGACCAGUGGCGAAGGCGGGUCUCUGGACAGUUCCUGACACUGAGGCACGAAGGCCAGGGGAGCAAACGGG
rnacentral:rRNA from 1 species